rnacentral:rRNA from 1 species
GAUUAAGUUAUUAAGGGCGCACGGUGGAUGCCUUGGCACUAGAAGCCGAUGAAGGACGUUACUAACGACGAUAUGCUUUGGGGAGCUGUAAGUAAGCUUUGAUCCAGAGAUUUCCGAAUGGGGAAACCCAGCAUGAGUUAUGUCAUGUUAUCGAUAUGUGAAUACAUAGCAUAUCAGAAGGCACACCCGGAGAACUGAAACAUCUUAGUACCCGGAGGAAGAGAAAGAAAAUUCGAUUCCCUUAGUAGCGGCGAGCGAAACGGGAAGAGCCCAAACCAACAAGCUUGCUUGUUGGGGUUGUAGGACACUCUAUACGGAGUUACAAAGGACGACAUUAGACGAAUCAUCUGGAAAGAUGAAUCAAAGAAGGUAAUAAUCCUGUAGUCGAAAAUGUUGUCUCUCUUGAGUGGAUCCUGAGUACGACGGAGCACGUGAAAUUCCGUCGGAAUCUGGGAGGACCAUCUCCUAAGGCUAAAUACUCUCUAGUGACCGAUAGUGAACCAGUACCGUGAGGGAAAGGUGAAAAGCACCCCGGAAGGGGAGUGAAAUAGAACCUGAAACCGUGUGCUUACAAGUAGUCAGAGCCCGUUAAUGGGUGAUGGCGUGCCUUUGUAGAAUGAACCGGCGAGUUACGAUUUGAUGCAAGGUUAAGCAGUAAAUGUGGAGCCGUAGCGAAAGCGAGUCUGAAUAGGGCGUUUAGUAUUUGGUCGUAGACCCGAAACCAGGUGAUCUACCCUUGGUCAGGUUGAAGUUCAGGUAACACUGAAUGGAGGACCGAACCGACUUACGUUGAAAAGUGAGCGGAUGAACUGAGGGUAGCGGAGAAAUUCCAAUCGAACCUGGAGAUAGCUGGUUCUCUCCGAAAUAGCUUUAGGGCUAGCCUCAAGUGAUGAUUAUUGGAGGUAGAGCACUGUUUGGACGAGGGGCCCCUCUCGGGUUACCGAAUUCAGACAAACUCCGAAUGCCAAUUAAUUGAACUUGGGAGUCAGAACAUGGGUGAUAAGGUCCGUGUUCGAAAGGGAAACAGCCCAGACCACCAGCUAAGGUCCCAAAAUAUAUGUUAAGUGGAAAAGGAUGUGGCGUUGCCCAGACAACUAGGAUGUUGGCUUAGAAGCAGCCAUCAUUUAAAGAGUGCGUAAUAGCUCACUAGUCGAGUGACACUGCGCCGAAAAUGUACCGGGGCUAAACAUAUUACCGAAGCUGUGGAUUGUCCUUUGGACAAUGGUAGGAGAGCGUUCUAAGGGCGUUGAAGCAUGAUCGUAAGAACAUGUGGAGCGCUUAGAAGUGAGAAUGCCGGUGUGAGUAGCGAAAGACGGGUGAGAAUCCCGUCCACCGAUUGACUAAGGUUUCCAGAGGAAGGCUCGUCCGCUCUGGGUUAGUCGGGUCCUAAGCUGAGGCCGACAGGCGUAGGCGAUGGAUAACAGGUUGAUAUUCCUGUACCACCUAUAAUCGUUUUAAUCGAUGGGGGACGCAGUAGGAUAGGCGAAGCGUGCGAUUGGAUUGCACGUCUAAGCAGUAAGGCUGAGUAUUAGGCAAAUCCGGUACUCGUUAAGGCUGAGCUGUGAUGGGGAGAAGACAUUGUGUCUUCGAGUCGUUGAUUUCACACUGCCGAGAAAAGCCUCUAGAUAGAAAAUAGGUGCCCGUACCGCAAACCGACACAGGUAGUCAAGAUGAGAAUUCUAAGGUGAGCGAGCGAACUCUCGUUAAGGAACUCGGCAAAAUGACCCCGUAACUUCGGGAGAAGGGGUGCUCUUUAGGGUUAACGCCCAGAAGAGCCGCAGUGAAUAGGCCCAAGCGACUGUUUAUCAAAAACACAGGUCUCUGCUAAACCGUAAGGUGAUGUAUAGGGGCUGACGCCUGCCCGGUGCUGGAAGGUUAAGAGGAGUGGUUAGCUUCUGCGAAGCUACGAAUCGAAGCCCCAGUAAACGGCGGCCGUAACUAUAACGGUCCUAAGGUAGCGAAAUUCCUUGUCGGGUAAGUUCCGACCCGCACGAAAGGCGUAACGAUUUGGGCACUGUCUCAACGAGAGACUCGGUGAAAUCAUAGUACCUGUGAAGAUGCAGGUUACCCGCGACAGGACGGAAAGACCCCGUGGAGCUUUACUGUAGCCUGAUAUUGAAAUUCGGCACAGCUUGUACAGGAUAGGUAGGAGCCUUUGAAACGUGAGCGCUAGCUUACGUGGAGGCGCUGGUGGGAUACUACCCUAGCUGUGUUGGCUUUCUAACCCGCACCACUUAUCGUGGUGGGAGACAGUGUCAGGCGGGCAGUUUGACUGGGGCGGUCGCCUCCUAAAAGGUAACGGAGGCGCUCAAAGGUUCCCUCAGAAUGGUUGGAAAUCAUUCAUAGAGUGUAAAGGCAUAAGGGAGCUUGACUGCGAGACCUACAAGUCGAGCAGGGUCGAAAGACGGACUUAGUGAUCCGGUGGUUCCGCAUGGAAGGGCCAUCGCUCAACGGAUAAAAGCUACCCCGGGGAUAACAGGCUUAUCUCCCCAAGAGUUCACAUCGACGGGGAGGUUUGGCACCUCGAUGUCGGCUCAUCGCAUCCUGGGGCUGUAGUCGGUCCCAAGGGUUGGGCUGUUCGCCCAUUAAAGCGGUACGCGAGCUGGGUUCAGAACGUCGUGAGACAGUUCGGUCCCUAUCCGUCGUGGGCGUAGGAAAUUUGAGAGGAGCUGUCCUUAGUACGAGAGGACCGGGAUGGACAUACCUCUGGUGUACCAGUUGUCGUGCCAACGGCAUAGCUGGGUAGCUAUGUGUGGACGGGAUAAGUGCUGAAAGCAUCUAAGCAUGAAGCCCCCCUCAAGAUGAGAUUUCCCAACUUCGGUUAUAAGAUCCCUCAAAGAUGAUGAGGUUAAUAGGUUCGAGGUGGAAGCAUGGUGACAUGUGGAGCUGACGAAUACUAAUCGAUCGAAGACUUAAUCAA